rnacentral:lncRNA from 1 species
ACAGACUGUUUAUGAAUAACACCAUUAAAUCCGCUAUGAGAUCAGUGAAUAAGAAGAGAGUAUAUAAAAGAGCCCCCACCGUUUUUAGCAUUCUACGAAACAACAAAACAAAACGGCGUAAAGACUUUAAUUCUAGUGUUUACAAAAUUCCACUACAUAAUCUAGAUGAUAAUCGGCCAGAAGUUUAUAUAGGACCACAGCCCGGAAUUUUAGAGACGGUGUUCGAAAGCAUAAAGACAACAUCGCGAAGGGUAACCUCAGCAUUGCUCUAGCAUUAAGAACAUUUGAAAAGAAAGUGGAGAUCUCAUGGCAAAAUGCUCAGGUUACAAAACUAGUUAAUGAUCGUAGAAUCCUUCC